AACGAACGCUGGCGGCGUGCUUAACACAUGCAAGUCGAACGCGAAAGGGGCUUCGGUCCUGAGUAAAGUGGCGCACGGGUGAGUAACGCGUAGAUAACCUGUCUUUCUGUCUGGAAUAAUACGCCGAAAGGGGUACUAAUACCGGAUAUUCUUGCUUUAUUAUAAGUUUUGUCAAGCAAAGGUGGCCUCUGUAUAUGCUACUGCAGGAAGAGGGGUCUGCGUACCAUUAGCUAGUAGGUGGGGUAAUGGCCUACCUAGGCGACGAUGGUUAGCGGGUCUGAGAGGAUGAUCCGCCACACUGGCACUGGAACACGGGCCAGACUCCUACGGGAGGCAGCAGUGAGGAAUAUUGCGCAAUGGGGGCAACCCUGACGCAGCGACGCCGCGUGAGUGAGGAAGG
rnacentral:rRNA from 1 species